CCUACGGGCGGCAGCAGUGAGGAAUAUUGGUCAAUGGCCGGAAGGCUGAACCAGCCAUGCCGCGUGAAGGUCAGUGCCCUAUGGGCGUUAAACUUCUUUUGUGCGGGAGCAAUAAUGGUCACGUGUGGCCAGACGAGAGUACCGUACGAAUAAGCAUCGGCUAACUCCGUGCCAGCAGCCGCGGUAAUACGGGGGAUGCAAGCGUUAUCCGGAUUUAUUGGGUUUAAAGGGUGCGUAGGCUGUGAGUUAAGUCAGCGGUGAAAUGCCCCCGCUCAACGGGGUGAAGUGCCAUUGAUACUGCCUUGCUGGAAUGCGGAUGCGGUGGGAGGAAUGUGUGGUGUAGCGGUGAAAGGCAUAGAUAUCACACAGAACACCGAUUGCGAAGGCAUCUCACGAAUCCGCGAUUGACGCUGAUGCACGAAAGCGUGGGUAUCAAACAGGAUUAGAUACCCCUGUAGUC
rnacentral:rRNA from 1 species